rnacentral:rRNA from 1 species
AUGUGGAAAAACAGAAAGAGAUUUGUACCCGCGUACUUCAAAAACGACUUUUUCCCAUUCAUCCAGACAACAUCAAGAAGUGAAGGAACAAAUGUUGUAUUCAAAGCAAAUGUAGAGUCAAGUCAUAGUAUGAUUGCUUUCAUGAAAGAGUUUGACAGGAUAUCACAAAGUAUUGAAGAAAAAAGAAAAGAAACUGAUUCAGUAACAAGGAGAACUCCUCCAACUAUGUGGAGUGACUGGGCAUUGGAAAAGCAAGUGGCAAGACUAUAUAACAGAGGCAUAUUCUACAAAUUUCAGCAAGAGUUAAUGAAUUCAACAAAGUUUCACAUGAUGGAAGUGGAAAAGAACAAACAGUAUGAGGUGUACAAGUCACCGGCUCAUGCACUGUCUGACUAUAACCCAAGAACAUUCAUAGUGGUUGUUGACACAGAUUCUAAAACUAUUUCAUGUGUAUGUGGGAAAUUUGAGAAGGAUGGCACUCUGUGUUGUCAUGCACUCAAAGUCAUACAAGCAUUGAACAUUGAUGAGUUACCAGAAAAGUAUUCCAUUGAUAGAUGGAGACCUAAGAAAAAAAGAGCAUUUCAAGCUAAUGAAGAAGAUGCAAACCUUGAAGAUUUGGAUGAGCAAAUGGCAUUCUUCUCAUUUUCAAGAAGGAUAGUUCAGCUAGCUUCUGAGGCAUCGAAAAAUGCUGCAAGGAGGAAAGUGUUAAAUGAGCAGAUAGGAAAUCUGGAGAAGUUAAUUUUAGACAUACCUUGCAUGCCAGAAUUGGAGCAAUCAAAAUAUUCCACUUCAGAUUUAACAGCUGUCACUCGGGAAGUGUUGUGUUCGGACAGCAAGGGUGAGAGCACUCUAAAGGAUCCAAUAUACACCAAACCAAAAGGGAGAAUGAAGAAAACAGGGAGGCAGAAAAGUAUAGUAGAAGAAAUCAUAUCAAAGCCUAAAGUGACUUGUUUGGGGUGCAAGAAACAAGGACACAACAUUACAGGGUGCAAGCAAAUAGAACAAGAGUCGCCAUAA